rnacentral:rRNA from 1 species
AGUGAACGCUGGCGGCGUGCCUAAUACAUGCAAGUCUAACGCGUGGCGCACGGGUGAGUAAUGUAUAGCUAAUCUGCCCUACACUAUCGGACACCAGUUGGAAACGACUGCUAAUACUCUAUAGUGUAGGAUGAGGCUAUAUUGUAUCAGCUAGUUGGUGAGGUAAUGUCUCACCAAGGCUAUGAUGGAUAACUGGUCUGAGAGGAUGAUCAGUCACACGGGAACUGAGACACGGUCCAGACUACUACGGGAAGGAGCGGUAGGGAAUAUUGCUCAAUGGGGGAAACCCUGAAGCAGCAACGCCGCGUGGAGGAUGACAGUUUUCGGAGCGUAAACUCCUUUUGUUAGGGAAGCGGUACCUAACGAAUAAGCACCGGCUAACUCCGUGCCAGCAGCCGCGGUAAUAC